UUGAAACACUGGUUCUUGUACAAUUACCAAAGUUAAACAACAUUGAGCCUGGUCAGUACCUUAAUGGGUGACCACUUGGGAAUACCAAGUGCUGUAAG